rnacentral:rRNA from 1 species
ACACAUGCAAGUCGAACGGAGAUUACAGGCGGAAGUUUUCGGAUGGAAGCUUGUAAACUUAGUGGCGGACGGGUGAGUAACACGUGAGCAACCUGCCUAUCAGAGGGGGAUAACGAUUGGAAACGAUCGCUAAUACCGCAUGACAUAGCGGAAUCGCAUGGUUCUGUUAUCAAAGAUUUUAUCGCUGAUAGAUGGGCUCGCGUCCGAUUAGAUAGUUGGUGGGGUAACGGCCUACCAAGUCGACGAUCGGUAGCCGGACUGAGAGGUCGAACGGCCACAUUGGGACUGAGACACGGCCCAGACUCCUACGGGAGGCAGCAGUGGGGGAUAUUGCACAAUGGGGGAAACCCUGAUGCAGCGACGCCGCGUGAGGGAAGACGGUCCUCUGGAUUGUAAACCUCUGUCUUCGGGGACGAAACGAGACGGUACCCGAGGAGGAAGCCACGGCUAACUACGUGCCAGCAGCCGCGGUAAUACGUAGGUGGCAAGCGUUGUCCGGAAUUACUGGGUGUAAAGGGAGCGUAGGCGGGCAGGCAAGUCAGGCGUGAAAUAUAUCGGCUCAACCGGUAACGGCGCUUGAAACUGCAGGUCUUGAGUGAAGUAGAGGUUGGCGGAAUUCCUAGUGUAGCGGUGAAAUGCGUAGAUAUUAGGAGGAACACCAGUGGCGAAGGCGGCCAACUGGGCUUUUACUGACGCUGAGGCUCGAAAGUGUGGGGAGCAAACAGGAUUAGAUACCCUGGUAGUCCACACCGUAAACGAUGAUUACUAGGUGUGGGGGGACUGACCCCUUCCGUGCCGGA